AACGAACGCUGGCGGCGUGCCUAACACAUGCAAGUCGAACGUGAUUGGAAGCUUGCUUCCAUGAAAGUGGCGCACGGGUGAGUAACGCGUAGAUAAUCUGCCUGAUGAUCCGGGAUAACACCUCGAAAGGGGUGCUAAUACCGGAUAAGCCCACGGGGUCUUUGGACUCUGCGGGAAAAGGGGGGGACCUUCGGGCCUUCUGUCAUCAGAUGAGUCUGCGUACCAUUAGCUAGUUGGUAGGGUAAAGGCCUACCAAGGCGACGAUGGUUAGCUGGUCUGAGAGGAUGAUCAGCCACACUGGAACUGAGACACGGUCCGGACUCCUACGGGAGGCAGCAGUGGGGAAUUUUGCGCAAUGGGGGGAACCCUGACGCAGCAACGCCGCGUGAGUGAUGAAGGCUCUUGGGUCGUAAAGCUCUGACAGAGGGAAAGAAGUGUCCUGUGGUUAAUACCCGCGGUACUUGACGGUACCCUCAAAGGAAGCACCGGCUAACUCCGUGCCAGCCGCCGCCGUAAAAC
rnacentral:rRNA from 1 species